UACGGGGGGAGCAAGCGUUGUUCGGAUUUACUGAGCGUAAAGGGCGCGUAGGCGGUCGUGACAAGUCACUUGUGAAAUCUCCGGGCUUAACUCGGAACGGUCAAGUGAUACUGUCGGACUAGAGUACAGAAGGGGCAACUGGAAUUCUCGGUGUAGCGGUGAAAUGCGUAGAUAUCAAGAGGAACACCUGAGGUGAAGACGGGUUGCUGGGCUGACACUGACGCUGAGGCGCGAAAGCCAGGGGAGCAAACGGG
rnacentral:rRNA from 1 species